GAUGAACGCUGGCGGCGUGCCUAAUACAUGCAAGUCGAGCGAACAGACGAGGAGCUUGCUUCUCUGACGUUAGCGGCGGACGGGUGAGUAACACGUGGAUAACCUACCUAUAAGACUGGGAUAACUUCGGGAAACCGGAGCUAAUACCGGAUAAUAUAUUGAACCGCAUGGUUCAAUAGUGAAAGACGGUUUUGCUGUCACUUAUAGAUGGAUCCGCGCCGCAUUAGCUAGUUGGUAAGGUAACGGCUUACCAAGGCAACGAUGCAUAGCCGACCUGAGAGGGUGAUCGGCCACACUGGAACUGAGACACGGUCCAGACUCCUACGGGAGGCAGCAGUAGGGAAUCUUCCGCAAUGGGCGAAAGCCUGACGGAGCAACGCCGCGUGAGUGAUGAAGGUCUUCGGAUCGUAAAACUCUGUUAUUAGGGAAGAACAAAUGUGUAAGUAACUAUGCACAUCUUGACGGUACCUAAUCAGAAAGCCACGGCUAACUACGUG
rnacentral:rRNA from 1 species